AAUGGGGGAAACCCUGAUCCAGCGACGCCGCGUGGGUGAAGAAGGCCUGCGGGUUGUAAAGCCCUUUCGGUAGGGACGAAAGCUCUCGACCUAACACGUCGGGAGGUUGACUUAACCUACAAAAGAAGCACCGGCUAACUCUGUGCCAGCAGCCGCGGUAAUACAGAGGGUGCGAGCGUUAAUCGGAAUUACUGGGCGUAAAGCGCACGUAGGCGGCUUGGUAUGUCGGGUGUGAAAUCCCCGGGCUCAACCUGGGAACUGCAUCCGAAACUGCCUUGCUCGAGUAUGGGAGAGGGAAGCGGAAUUUCCGGUGUAGCGGUGAAAUGCGUAGAUAUCGGAAGGAACAUCAGUGGCGAAGGCGGCUUCCUGGACCAAUACUGACGCUCAGGUGCGAAAGCGUGGGGAGCAAA
rnacentral:rRNA from 1 species